AACUUUUAUAGGAUAGAAGUAAUCCGUUGGUCUUAGGANNCAAAAAAUUGGUGCAACUCCA
rnacentral:tRNA from 1 species